rnacentral:rRNA from 1 species
CCUACGUGAGGCAGCAGUGGGGAAUUUUGCGCAAUGCACGCAAGUGUGACGCAGCGACGCCGCGUGUAUGAAGAAGGCCUUCGGAUCGUAAAGUUCCUUCGACAGGGAAGAAAAUGCCUAUACGUAACUGUGUAUGUAUUGAUGGUACCUGUAUAAGCAGCCCCGGCUAACUCCGUGCCAGCAGCCGCGGUAAUACGGAGGGGUGGAGCGUUGUUCGGAGUGAUUGGGCGUAAAGAGCACGUAGGCGGUGUGGUAAGUCAUUAGUCAAAAACUAGAGCUCAACUUUGGUAAGGCUAGUGAUACGAUAAUACUAGAGUAUCAGAGAGGAUUGCAGAAUUCAUGGUGUAGCGGGGAAAUGCGUAGAGAUCA